rnacentral:tRNA from 1 species
GGCUCUGUGGCGCAAUGGAUAGCGCAUUGGACUUCUAGUGACGAAAAAGGCGAUUCAAAGGUUGUGGGUUCGAAUCCCACCAGAGUCG